CGCGAAUAGCUCAUUACAACAGCUAUAAUUUACUUGUUCUGAAUUCCUAAACGGAUAACUGCGGUAAUUCUGGAGCCAAUACGUGCAAAAAGUCCUAUUCAGCAAUGAGUGGGAUGCACUUAUCGGAGCAAAACCUUUCCUGGUUUGAUGCUAACUCUGGAUAAGCAAGCUUAUCGCCCGAGUACGGGCGAAGUGACAUUCAAGUAUCUGCCUUAUCAACUAUCGUUGGUAGUGUAUUGGACUACCAUGGUGUUGACGGGUAACGGAGAAUCAGGGUUCGACUCCGGAGAGGGAGCCUUAGAGACGGCUACCAUGUCUAAGGACAGCAGCAGGCGCGCAACUUAUCCACUGUCCACUGGGACGAGAUAGUGACGAGAAAUAACAAGCCCGUUCUCUUUGAGGUCGGGCAUUGGAAUGGAUGAAAUGUAAAAGAUUUCAUGAGUACCCACGAGAGGGCAAGUCUGGUGCCAGCAGCCGCGGUAAUUCCAGCUCUCGUAAUGUAUAGAAUUAUUGUUGCGGUUAAAAAGUUCGUAGUUGGAUUCCCCGUUGGAUGUGGGUGUGUCUAACGACACUACUCACGACAACGUUUACACCAGGGUUGCGCGAGCGACCACGGUGUGGAUUACUUUGAGCGGCUUAAGUGCUUAAGGCGAGUCUUCGGACUGAAUACCGGUGCAUGGAAUAAUGGAACAAGGUUUCGGCCGAGUUUUAUUGGUUUUGUCGGCUGAGACAAUGGUUAAGAGGAACAGCUGGGGGCACUCGUAUCGCUGCGCGAGAGGUGAAAUUCGUGGACCGCAGCGAGACGCACUAAAGCGAAGGCAUUUGCCAAGAGUGUUUUCAUUAAUCAAGAACGAAAGUCAGAGGUUCGAAGGCGAUCAGAUACCGCCC
rnacentral:rRNA from 1 species